UACGUGAGGGGUCGAGCGUUGUCCGGAGUUACUGGGCGUAAAGCGUGCGCAGGCGGCUUCAUCGCGCUCGGCGUGAAAGCCCCCGGCUCAACCGGGGAGGGUCGUCGAGGACGGGUGGAGCUUGAGGGUGAUCAGGGGUUGGUGGAAUUCCCGGUGUAGUGGUGAAAUGCGUAGAGAUCGGGAGGAACACCCGUGGCGAAGGCGGCCAACUGGGAUACACCUGACGCUGAGGCACGAAGGCGUGGGGAGCAAACAGG
rnacentral:rRNA from 1 species